UGAUGACAGAUUCUGCAUGUCAGACUGACCCACCCAAGUACCGUACUGUUCGUACACAGCUAUCCUCGAGGACUCUUGGUUCACAUCGAAGUACAGCUGUCCAGGCUAAAAUUCCCUGCAGAAGCGUUGGUGUCGAAACACUUCCGUUGGAAGUGCCAGUGCCCUUUUUAACAUCCACCCCCUUAAAGAGACCACCAAAGAGGCCCGUGUGGAUCUUGAAGAGGAAUACGAAGAUCCAUUUGAGGGAAGCUCUUCUUUGGUGUUUUCCGAAGGCCAGGAUGCAACUUAUGAUCCAGCAGAAUCCAUAACAAAUGCUACAGAAACAACAGCCAUGUCUGGUCAAGAACAAAACCCCCCCCAGACGAUCAACACAUACAUCGUGUAUGAGACCUGCCUCAUGGAGCUUUUUGAAUCAUGUCCUGUGUGCAAGCGUGUGUGUGAUGUACAAACCAGAAGGAUCGGUACAUUCAUAUCAGUGCAGCAGCUGUGCCCCCAUUGUCAGUUUACAAGAAACUGGAAUAGCCAGCCUGUUCUUGGGAGUACUCCAGUUGGAAACCUGUAGCUAUCAGUUGCAACAUAUGUCAACGGAGCAUCUUUCUACAAACUUUCAAAGGUCUUCAAAGCAAUGAAUAUGCAGCUAUGCAAAUACAACACCUUCCGAAGGCAUGCCAGGAUGUUCAUUGAGCCAGCGAUUGUUUCUUACUGGCAAAAAUCACAGGAAGGCAUGCUACAGAAGCUCCAUGCAGAGGAGAAAGUGAUAGUUGGUGGUGAUAUGAGGGCUG